AGCCCUAACCGGUUUGGCUCAGUGGAUAGAGCGUCGGCCUGAAAGCUCAAGGGUCCCAGGUUCAAUUCCGGUCAAGGGCAAGUACCUUGUUUGCGGGCACAUACCCAAUGGGGAG